CUAAGGGUGAAGCGAUUCACCUUGACCGUGUCGCAGAAGUCAGCAAAGGGCACAGUAGAUCCUGCUGUCGGCAAGGCUAGUGAGGCACUCCAAGGCC
rfam:Chloroflexi bacterium 13_1_20CM_54_36 13_1_20cm_full_scaffold_6686, whole genome shotgun sequence.